rnacentral:piRNA from 1 species
UGGCCAACUUUGAUCUAUCUUAGGAGUCUU